rnacentral:tRNA from 1 species
GUUGUCGUGGCCGAGUGGUUAAGGCGAUAGACUAGAAAUGUUUUGAGAUCUUCCCGCGCAGGUUCGAAUCCUGCCGACAACG